rnacentral:rRNA from 1 species
UACGUAGGGUGCAAGCGUUGUCCGGAAUUAUUGGGCGUAAAGAGCUCGUAGGCGGCUUGUCACGUCUGCUGUGAAAACUCGGGGCUCAACCCCGAGCCUGCAGUGGAUACGGGCUAGCUAGAGUGCGGUAGGGGAGACUGGAAUUCCUGGUGUAGCGGUGAAAUGCGCAGAUAUCAGGAGGAACACCGGUGGCGAAGGCGGCAUACUGGGUAUUUUCUGACGCUCAUGCACGAAAGCUAGGGUAGCGAACGGG